UCGGGAAAAUUUUGCAAUGCGCGAAAGCGUGACAGAGCAAGCCAAAGUGCUUUCUUUUUUAGAAAGCUUUUGCAGGAUGUAAAAAGUCCUGCGAAUAAGGACCGGGCAAGACUGGUGCCAGCCGCCGCGGUAAUCCCAGCGGUCCAAGUCGCAGCCACAUUUGUUGGGUCUAAAACAUCCGUAGCUUGCUUUGUAAGUCUCUUGUUAAAUCGGGCCUCUUAAGGGUCCGGCCGCAAGGGAUACUGCUUAGCUAGAGACCGGGAGACGUAAAGAGUACGAACAGGGUAACGGUAAAAUGUGUUGAUCCUGUUUGGACUAACAAUAGCGAAGGCACUUUACGAGAACGGAUCUGACAGUGAGGGAUGAAGGCUAGGGGCGCAAAGUGG
rnacentral:rRNA from 1 species